GGCGUAGGUGGCCUUUCAAGUCGGAUGUGAAAUUUCCCGGCUCAACUGGGACGAGUCAUCCGAUACUGUUGGGCUGGAGUGCAGCAGGGGGAAACGGAAUUCCCGGUGUAGUGGUGAAAUGCGUAGAUAUCGGGAGGAACACCAGAGGCGAAGGCGGUUUUCCAGGCUGUUACUGACACUGAGGCCCGAAAGCGUGGGGAGCGAACAGGAUUAGAUACCCUGGUAGUCCACGCUGUAAACGAUGGACACUAGGUAUAGGGAGUAUCGACCCUCUCUGUGCCGAAGCUAACGCUUUAAGUGUCCCGCCUGGGGACUACGGCCGCAAGGUUAAA
rnacentral:rRNA from 1 species